rnacentral:rRNA from 1 species
UACGGGGGGGGCAAGCGUUGUUCGGAAUUACUGGGCGUAAAGGGCGCGUAGGCGGCCUGCUAAGUCGGAUGUGAAAUCCCUCGGCUCAACCGAGGAACUGCAUCCGAUACUGGCGGGCUUGAAUCCGGGAGAGGGAUGUGGAAUUCCAGGUGUAGCGGUGAAAUGCGUAGAUAUCAGGAGGAACACCGGUGGCGAAGGCGCUCAUCUGGCCCAAUACUGACGCUGAGGCGCGAAAGCUAGGGGAGCAAACGGG